UACGGAGGAUCCGAGCGUUAUCCGGAUUUAUUGGGUUUAAAGGGUGCGUAGGCGACCUAUUAAGUCAGGGGUGAAAGACGGUAGCUUAACUAUCGCAGUGCCUUUGAUACUGAUAGGCUUGAAUGUACUUGAGGUAGGCGGAAUGUGACAAGUAGCGGUGAAAUGCAUAGAUAUGUCACAGAACACCAAUUGCGAAGGCAGCUUACUAAAGUAUGAUUGACGCUGAGGCACGAAAGCGUGGGGAUCAAACAGG
rnacentral:rRNA from 1 species